rnacentral:lncRNA from 1 species
UGAAGGAUCAGAGGAAGAUGCCUCAUGGCCUUGAAAGGUUCUUCAAGAACGAACCCAGAGAUGCCAUUGCUAUCUAUCUUCAGGAUCGUCUGGAUGAAGGCAUUGAUAUCUCUGAUUUUCGCCUAGAAGACUGUCUGGACUCUGUAGAAGAUCUGGUCAGAUACAAAAGAGGCCUUUCUGAGAAGAAGAUAGCUGAGAAGCAAGGAAGGCAAAGAAAGCCAGAAUUGGAGAAACCUCUGGCACCAAAGCUUCAGCACCUCUGAAUGUCUCCUCUGGUAAGUCCAUUCCUCCUGUCUCUUCUGAAUCUGUAAUGGCUUCCUCUAAC